GACGAACGCUGGCGGCGUGCUUAACACAUGCAAGUCGAACGGAAAGGCCCUGCUUUUGUGGGGUGCUCGAGUGGCGAACGGGUGAGUAACACGUGAGUAACCUGCCCUUGACUUUGGGAUAACUUCAGGAAACUGGGGCUAAUACCGGAUAGGAGCUCCUGCUGCAUGGUGGGGGUUGGAAAGUUUCGGCGGUUGGGGAUGGACUCGCGGCUUAGCAGCUUGUUGGUGGGGUAGUGGCUUACCAAGGCUUUGACGGGUAGCCGGCCUGAGAGGGUGACCGGCCACAUUGGGACUGAGAUACGGCCCAGACUCAUACGGGGGGCAGCAGUGGAGAAUAGUGCACAAUGGGCGGAAGCCUGAUGCAGCAACGCCGCGUGCGGGAUGACGGCCUUCGGGGUGUAAAGCGCUUUCGCCUGUGAAGAAGCGUCAGUGACGGUAAUGGGUAAAGAAGCAACGGCUAACUACGUG
rnacentral:rRNA from 1 species